rnacentral:rRNA from 1 species
GAUGAACGCUGGCGGUCUGCUUAACACAUGCAAGUCGAACGGUGAACCCUCGGGUUCAUAGUGGCGGACGGGUGAGUAACACGUGAGAAUCUGCCUCCAGGUCGGGGACAACAGCGGGAAACUGCUGCUAAUACCCGAUGUGCCUAAGGGUGAAAGAUUAAUUGCCUGGAGAUGAGCUCGCGUCCGAUUAGCUAGUUGGUGGGGUAAAAGCUUACCAAGGCGACGAUCGGUAGCUGGUCUGAGAGGAUGAGCAGCCACACUGGGACUGAGACACGGCCCAGACUCCUACGGGAGGCAGCAGUGGGGAAUUUUCCGCAAUGGGCGAAAGCCUGACGGAGCAAGACCGCGUGGGGGAUGAAGGCUCUUGGGUUGUAAACCCCUUUUCUCAGGGAAGAAGUUCUGACGGUACCUGAGGAAUCAGCAUCGGCUAACUCCGUGCCAGCCGCCGCGGUAAAAC